rnacentral:rRNA from 1 species
CCUACGGGAGGCAGCAGUGGGGAAUAUUGCACAAUGGGCGCAAGCCUGAUGCAGCCAUGCCGCGUGUGUGAAGAAGGCCUUCGGGUUGUAAAGCACUUUCAGCGGGGAGGAAGGCGGUGAGGUUAAUAACCUCAUCGAUUGACGUUACCCGCAGAAGAAGCACCGGCUAACUCCGUGCCAGCAGCCGCGGUAAUACGGAGGGUGCAAGCGUGAAUCGGAAUUACUGGGCGUAAAGCGCACGCAGGCGGUCUGUCAAGUCGGAUGUGAAAUCCCCGGGCUCAACCUGGGAACUGCAUUCGAAACUGGCAGGCUAGAGUCUUGUAGAGGGGGGUAGAAUUCCAGGUGUAGCGGUGAAAUGCGUAGAGAUCUGGAGGAAUACCGGUGGCGAAGGCGGCCCCCUGGACAAAGACUGACGCUCAGGUGCGAAAGCGUGGGGAGCAAACAGGAUUAGAUACCCUAGUAGUC